rnacentral:rRNA from 1 species
ACGGGUGCGUAACGCGUGGGAAUCUGCCCUUUGGUUCGGAAUAACAGCUGGAAACGGCUGCUAAUACCGGAUGAUGACGAAAGUCCAAAGAUUUAUCGCCAGAGGAUGAGCCCGCGUUGGAUUAGGUAGUUGGUGGGGUAAAGGCCUACCAAGCCGACGAUCCAUAGCUGGUCUGAGAGGAUGAUCAGCCACACUGGGACUGAGACACGGCCCAGACUCCUACGGGAGGCAGCAGUGGGGAAUAUUGGACAAUGGGCGAAAGCCUGAUCCAGCAAUGCCGCGUGAGUGAUGAAGGCCCUAGGGUUGUAAAGCUCUUUUACCCGGGAAGAUAAUGACUGUACCGGGAGAAUAAGCCCCGGCUAACUCCGUGCCAGCAGCCGCGGUAAUACGGAGGGGGCUAGCGUUGUUCGGAAUUACUGGGCGUAAAGCGCACGUAGGCGGCUUUGCAAGUCAGAGGUGAAAGCCUGGAGCUCAACUCCAGAACUGCCUUUGAGACUGCAUCGCUUGAAUCCAGGAGUGGUCAGUGGAAUUCCGAGUGUAGAGGUGAAAUUCGUAGA